rnacentral:rRNA from 1 species
CCUACGGGGGGCAGCAGUGAGGAAUAUUGGUCAAUGGACGAGAGUCUGAACCAGCCAAGUAGCGUGAAGGAUGACUGCCCUAUGGGUUGUAAACUUCUUUUAUAAAGGAAUAAAACAAGGCACGUGUGCCUUUUUGCAUGUACUUUAUGAAUAAGGAUCGGCUAACUCCGUGCCAGCAGCCGCGGUAAUACGGAGGAUCCGAGCGUUAUCCGGAUUGAUUGGGUUUAAAGGGAGCGUAGAUGGGUUGUUAAGUCAGUUGUGAAAGUUUGCGGCUCAACCGUAAAAUUGCAAGUGAUACUGGCAGUCUUGAGUACAGUUGAGGUAGGCGGAAUUCGUGGUGUAGCGGUGAAAUGCUUAGAUAUCACGAAGAACCCCGAUUGCGAAGGCAGCUUACUAAACUGUGACUGACAUUGAUGCUCGAAAGUGUGGGUAUCAAACAGGAUUAGAUACCCUUGUAGUC